rnacentral:rRNA from 1 species
AUGGCUCAGCAUGAACGCUAGCGACAGGCCUAACACAUGCAAGUCGAGGGGCAUCGGGGCGAGGAGCAAUCCUUGCCGCCGGCGACCGGCGCACGGGUGAGUAACGCGUAUGCGACCUGCCCGUUGCAGGGGGAUAAUCGGGAGAAAUCCCGUCUAAUACCGCGUAAUGCCGCGGGGCUGCAUGGCCCUGCGGCCAAAGGGAGCGAUUCCGGCAACGGAUGGGCAUGCGUGACAUUAGCUAGUUGGCGGGGCAACGGCCCACCAAGGCGACGAUGUCUAGGGGUUCUGAGAGGAAGGUCCCCCACACUGGUACUGAGACACGGACCAGACUCCUACGGGAGGCAGCAGUGAGGAAUAUUGGUCAAUGGGCGCGAGCCUGAACCAGCCAAGUCGCGUGAGGGAUGACGGCCCUACGGGUUGUAAACCUCUUUUGUCGGGGAGCAAAUUCCGCCACGUGUGGCGGAGUCGAGAGUACCCGAAGAAAAAGCAUCGGCUAACUCCGUGCCAGCAGCCGCGGUAAUACGGAGGAUGCGAGCGUUAUCCGGAUUUAUUGGGUUUAAAGGGUGCGUAGGCGGACUGUCAAGUCAGCGGUAAAACACGGGGGCUCAACCUCCGCCCGCCGUUGAAACUGACGGUCUUGAGUGGGCGAGAAGUAUGCGGAAUGCGUGGUGUAGCGGUGAAAUGCAUAGAUAUCACGCAGAACUCCGAUUGCGAAGGCAGCAUACCGGCGCCCGACUGACGCUGAAGCACGAAAGCGUGGGUAUCGAGCAGGAUUAGAUACCCUGGUAGUCCACGCAGUAAACGAUGAAUACUAGCUGUCCGGGGCGAAUGAGCCCUGGGUGGCACAGCGAAAGCGUUAAGUAUUCCACCUGGGGAGUACGCCGGCAACGGUGAAACUCAAAGGAAUUGACGGGGGCCCGCACAAGCGGAGGAACAUGUGGUUUAAUUCGAUGAUACGCGAGGAACCCUACCCGGGCUCAAACGACACAGGAACGUACCUGAAAGGGUUCGGCUCUACGGAGCCUGUGUCGAGGUGCUGCAUGGUUGUCGUCAGCUCGUGCCGUGAGGUGUCGGCUUAAGUGCCAUAACGAGCGCAACCCCCAUCGACAGUUGCUAACAGGUCAGGCUGAGGACUCUGUCGAGACUGCCGGCGCAAGCUGCGAGGAAGGCGGGGAUGACGUCAAAUCAGCACGGCCCUUACGUCCGGGGCGACACACGUGUUACAAUGGCAGGUACAGCGGGAAGCCACCUGGCGACAGGGAGCGGAACCCGAAAGCCUGUCUCAGUUCGGAUUGGAGUCUGCAACCCGGCUCCAUGAAGCUGGAUUCGCUAGUAAUCGCGCAUCAGCCACGGCGCGGUGAAUACGUUCCCGGGCCUUGUACACACCGCCCGUCAAGCCAUGGAAGCCGGGGGUGCCUGAAGUGCGCUGCCGCGAGGAGCGCCCUAGGGUAAAACCGGUGACUGGGGCUAAGUCGUAACAAGGUA